GAAUAAAGAUGGAUGCCCAUUAU
rnacentral:siRNA from 1 species